UGAGGAAUAUUGGUCAAUGGGCGCAAGCCUGAACCAGCCAUGCCGCGUGCAGGAUGACUGCCCUAUGGGUUGUAAACUGCUUUUAUACGGGAAUAACCCCUUUGACGAGUCAGAGGCUGAAGGUACCGUAGGAAUAAGGAUCGGCUAACUCCGUGCCAGCAGCCGCGGUAAUACGGAGGAUCCAAGCGUUAUCCGGAUUUAUUAGGUUUAAAGGGUGUGUAGGCGGCUUGGCAAGUCAGCGGUGAAAGCCCAUAGCUUAACUAUGGAACUGCCGUAGAUACUGCUGAGCUUGAGUCCACUUGAAGUAGGCGGAACGUGUAAUGUAGCGGUGAAAUGCUUAGAUAUUACACAGAACACCGAUUGCGAAGGCAGCUUACUAAAGUGUAACUGACGCUGAGGCACGAAAGCGUGGGGAGCAAACAGG
rnacentral:rRNA from 1 species